CCUACGGGUGGCAGCAGUGGGGAAUAUUGGACAAUGGGGGGAACUCUGAUCCAGCGACGCCGCGUGAGUGAAGAAGUAUUUCGGUAUGUAAAGCUCUAUCAGCAGGGAUGAAAGAAAUGACGGUACCUGACUAAGAAGCCCCGGCUAACUACGUGCCAGCAGCCGCGGUAAUACGUAGGGGGCAAGCGUUAUCCGGAUUUACUGGGCGUAAAGGGAGCGUAGGUGGCGAAGUAAGUCUGCAGUGAAAGGCCGGGGCCCAACCCCGGGACUGCUUCGGAAACUGUAUGGCUGGAGUGCAGGAGGGGUAAGUGGAAUUCCUAGUGUAGCGGUGAAAUGCGUAGAUAUUAGGAGGAACACCAGUGGCGAAGGCGACUUACUGGACUGUAACUGACGUUGAGGCACGAAAGCGUGGGGAGCAAACAGGAUUAGAUACCCGUGUAGUC
rnacentral:rRNA from 1 species